rnacentral:rRNA from 1 species
AUUGAACGCUGGCGGCAUGCUUACACAUGCAAGUCGAACGGUAACAGGUUAAGCUGACGAGUGGCGAACGGGUGAGUAAUGCAUCGGAACGUGCCCGAUCGUGGGGGAUAACGCAGCGAAAGCUGCGCUAAUACCGCAUGCGAUCUGAGGAUGAAAGCGGGGGACCGUAAGGCCUCGCGCGAUCGGAGCGGCCGAUGUCAGAUUAGGUAGUUGGUGGGGUAAAGGCUCACCAAGCCAACGAUCUGUAGCUGGUCUGAGAGGACGACCAGCCACGCUGGGACUGAGACACGGCCCAGACUCGUACGGGAGGAAGCAGUGGGGAAUUUUGGACAAUGGGCGAAAGCCUGAUCCAGCAAUGCCGCGUGCAGGAAGAAGGCCUUCGGGGUGUAAACUGCUUUUGUACGGAGCGAAAAGGCUCUCUCUAAUACAGGGGGCUCAUGACGGUACCGUAAGAAUAAGCACCGGCUAACUACGUGCCAGCCGCCGCAGUAA